AACAAAUACAGAAGCACUCGAUUUGAGUCCUGAAACCCUGGGGUGACCACCGUGAACAAAUACAGACUGCAAAAAGGCAGUCUUGAUGGUACUAGGAUGAAUGCAAAUAAAGACUAACCACCUGACUUCAGCGGUCCAGUCUCUUGUGGGAAGCAGGUGUUUGUUACCCCAAAUACGGAUGAAGAGUGACGAAGAGGAUGAUGACUUUUUUCUCAAACAUCUGCUGAAGAUCUUGACAGGCUGGAGACAAAAUUACAGACUGAGGGUUUAUACAAAGAAUCUUACUCAGCCAAUAUUAAAGAUAAGAUAUUUUUACAAAAUGUUAUUUUCAUUGUUUAGGAUGAUUUUAUGUAGAAAACAGUACAUCACAAAAAAGACUUUAGAUGUGUUUUCACAGGCAGAGCCUUACACACACACUAACCACAAUUAUAAACGCAACACUAACACAGAUUUAGACAGAUUUGUGUAUAAUAUUUGAGAGAAAUAGGCCUUUUGGGGACAUAGAAAAUAUUUAAGUUCAGCUCAUGAAAUGAAAAAUGGGGGCAAAAACAAAUAUUAACAAGUGCAAUACAAAUAUCAACCAUAAUACUGAUCGUUUUAAAAAAGUAAGCCACUAUAUCUUUCUAGAAUCUUACACAAGACUCAGUUACAUGAAUGAUCAAAAUAAAUUAACGUCAGACAGGUGGGCGAAAUAUCAAUAUUAAAGCAUGAUUAACUGUUAUCAACCCAAUCUCGAGGUAUUAUUUAAAUGAUCCCACAGCAAACAGUUUAUUAUUUAAAUGCAUUAUUACUACAUACCUUAAGCAAAUGUUCCACGCCUUUCUUCUUCUUGGCAUUGCGAGGUCAAGCGGAUGUUGUUAUGUAGAAUCAUGACCUUGACGUAAAGACGCACAUCCGUAAUUUAUUUAACAAUGACAACGCUUUCAGGUAAUUUUAUCUUCUAGAUCCUAAUUAACGCUAUGAAGAAAGAACAGCCUUUCACGAUUAUUUCCUGGUAAUUUUCUGUAAUGUUUUAUUUUAGAAUGGAGAUUAAUAAAGCAG